rnacentral:lncRNA from 1 species
AUGGCCUUCUUCAAAUGGUUCAUCUUCGCCGCCGUCGUCGUUGUUGCCGCCGCUGAAUACGGAUCUUCCGGAUACGGACACGGAUCUUCCGGAUCUUCUGGAUACGGUUCCUCUUCAUACGGUCACGGUUCUUCCGGAUCUUCUGGAUACGGUUCCUCCUCAUACGGACACGGUUCUUCCGGAUACGGACAUGGAUCAUCCGGAUACGGAUCUUCUUCAUACGGACACGGCGAACCCGCCGUCUCCUACCAGAACGUGAACCUUUACCCACAACAACAAACGGCUACUCCGCUCCCAGCUACGGACACUCCGCUCCCAGCUACGGACACUCCGCUCCCAGCUACGGACACUCCGCUCCCAGCUACUCCUCUCAUGGGUCCAGCUACUCCUCUCAUGGAUCCAGCUACGCUGCUCCCAGCUACUCUCAUGGCUCCAGCUACUAAGAGUGCACUUCAUCACUACCCAUUCAUCCACAUCCCUCUUAAUUUAUUUCACCCCAUCCACUUCAAACAUUUUAAUUUAUUGAACCAUCCAAAAUUCAAAAAUAAAAUCCGAAAGCUCAUACAACGUCUUUUUUAAUUUCUCUUACACGAAGAGAGCAUGAAACGAAAGUUCGUGCCUUUAAACUAAACAUUUAUGCAUAGGAAAACCCAAUGUUUUUACCAUGCUGAGGGCUCAUUUUUUAGGAAAUAUUUGCGUGCGUAUUUUAAAAAAAACAAAAAAAAAAGAAGAAAAAACAAAAUAGAAUUGAUGCACAUCUUUUACACUCAUAGAAAAAAUAUUUUAGACGGAACUAACAAUCUAAGCAAUUUAAUGUAACGAAACAAAGGGUAAAAUUUGAGGAUCAAAACUAUUAAUGAGCAA